UCGAUUAGUCACAGAAGGAUACGAUCGGGCGACGAAGGAAAAGGGGAUAAGGGAGCAACGAAAUCAGACGGCGAGAAAGAAGCUCGCAGGCGCGCGGCUGUUACUCCGGACGUCUAGGCCGAUCACGAAGAGGGUGGCGGCUCCGGUGCUUGGCCGAACCGAAGGAGAAGAAGAGAGGAAAGCAGCGAGGCUCUCUCUUUCUCGUUCGGCGAUUGCAGACUCAUCGCACCCGAGUGGCAUGCUCCGGUGGUCGAUCAGACUGAAGAAAAGGAACGGUCCAUGGGUGUUGCGAGCAGCAGCAGCGACGAGGUGAGACCUUCGGAGGUAUGGGGUUGUUGGGGACAGAAGAGGAUGAAGGCGAGGGCAGAGGAGGUCUCGGUGGUGUUUGCUCGACAAUCGCGAUGUUCCCCCCCUCGUCUUGACAGUUCUGAUCAACAAUGGAAAAUCGAUAGGUAAUAGGUUUAAAUGGGAGCUUGGUUUUGGUUCUUGAUAGGAAAGAGGGAAAAACGGAAGAUGAAUCUAAGGAUGACAGCAACUCCGAUUGCUUUUAUGUUUUUCCAAUGAACAAGGUAUUCGAGGGGCAGGAGGAUCGUGAGGGAUAGAGAUUUUGAGUGAUCUUUUUUUUUUUGAAUGCUUGAUUGUUUCAGUCGAGUUGGAAAGAAAAUGAAUCAAGAAAGAGGUGUUGUUCUUCUUCUGGGCUGCUCACGAAUAGAAGACGAUAAAGUGUUUAUUUAUUAUUAUUUUUUUUUUUUGAAACAGCAAGUCUAAUGAAACUACUCCUUAAAUCCAUAAAUCCACUUCUGUCUACGGCGAGACUUGAACCGUCAACCUCAAGAAUGGAGAGCAGCACGGCAUACCGCUACACUAGAUGCCUUUGGUGUUUUUGAGAGUUUAAUUGGUUAAAAGAAGUGUGCAAGAAUCAACUUUUUUGAGUGUAGAAUUAUGUAUCUUAGGUGAAAUUUAGAAGCAAUAUCAUUCAUAAUGAAUUUGUUUUUGUGUUAACUUGGGUAAAUGGUAAUGUGGAAGAAUGUUAUUUGGCUGUCAA